AGGGGUAUAGCUCAGUGGUAGAUUGCAUGCCUAGCAUGUGUGAGGUCCUGGGUUCCAUCCCCAGUACCUCCC
rnacentral:tRNA from 1 species